CGGGAUGUAGCGCAGUGGUAGCGCAUCUGUUUUGGGAACAGAGGGUCGCAGGUUCAAAUCCUGUCAUCCCGA
rnacentral:tRNA from 1 species